rnacentral:rRNA from 1 species
AGUGAACGCUGGCGGUAGGCCUAACACAUGCAAGUCGAACGGCAGCACAGUAAGAGCUUGCUCUUACGGGUGGCGAGUGGCGGACGGGUGAGGAAUACAUCGGAAUCUACUUUUUCGUGGGGGAUAACGUAGGGAAACUUACGCUAAUACCGCAUACGACCUACGGGUGAAAGCAGGGGAUCUUCGGACCUUGCGCGAUUGAAUGAGCCGAUGUCGGAUUAGCUAGUUGGCGGGGUAAAGGACCACCAAGGCGACGAUCCGUAGCUGGUCUGAGAGGAUGAUCAGCCACACUGGAACUGAGACACGGUCCAGACUCCUACGGGAGGCAGCAGUGGGGAAUAUUGGACAAUGGGCGCAAGCCUGAUCCAGCCAUGCCGCGUGGGUGAAGAAGGCCUUCGGGUUGUAAAGCCCUUUUGUUGGGAAAGAAAAGCAGCAGGUUAAUACCCCGCUGUUCUGACGGUACCCAAAGAAUAAGCACCGGCUAACUUCGUG